rnacentral:rRNA from 1 species
UACGUAGGGGGCUAGCGUUGUCCGGAAUUAUUGGGCGUAAAGAGCUCGUAGGCGGCUUGUCACGUCGGGUGUGAAAGCCCGGGGCUUAACCCCGGGUCUGCAUUCGAUACGGGCAGGCUAGAGUGUGGUAGGGGAGAUCGGAAUUCCUGGUGUAGCGGUGAAAUGCGCAGAUAUCAGGAGGAACACCGGUGGCGAAGGCGGAUCUCUGGGCCAUUACUGACGCUGAGGAGCGAAAGCGUGGGGAGCGAACAGG